rnacentral:rRNA from 1 species
GAUGGGCUCGCGGCCUAUCAGCUUGUUGGUGAGGUAAUGGCUCACCAAGGCGUCGACGGGUAGCCGGCCUGAGAGGGUGACCGGCCACACUGGGACUGAGACACGGCCCAGACUCCUACGGGAGGCAGCAGUGGGGAAUAUUGCACAAUGGGCGGAAGCCUGAUGCAGCAACGCCGCGUGAGGGAUGACGGCCUUCGGGUUGUAAACCUCUUUUAGCAGGGAAGAAGCGAAAGUGACGGUACCUGCAGAAAAAGCGCCGGCUAACUACGUGCCAGCAGCCGCGGUAAUACGUAGGGCGCAAGCGUUAUCCGGAAUUAUUGGGCGUAAAGAGCUCGUAGGCGGUUUGUCGCGUCUGCUGUGAAAUCCCGAGGCUCAACCUCGGGUCUGCAGUGGGUACGGGCAGACUAGAGUGCGGUAGGGGAGAUUGGAAUUCCUGGUGUAGCGGUGGAAUGCGCAGAUAUCAGGAGGAACACCGAUGGCGAAGGCAGAUCUCUGGGCCGUAACUGACGCUGAGGAGCGAAAGGGUGGGGAGCAAACAGGCUUAGAUACCCUGGUAGUCCACCCC